AUAAGAUAUCAAGGGCAACAGGUGAAUGCCUUGGCGCUGAGAGGCGAUGAAAGACGCGGUAAGCUGCGAUAAGCAUCGGGGAGGAGCUAAACAUCCUACGAUCCGAUGAUUUCUGAAUGGGGAAACCCGAUGGGAGUCAUGUCCCAUCAUCCUGAGCUGAAUAUAUAGGCCCAGAGAAGCCAACCCGGGGAAGUGAAACAUCUCAGUACCCGGAGGAAGAGAAAUCAAACGAGACUCCCAAAGUAGCGGCGAGCGAAAUGGGAAGAGCCCAAACCGGGUGGUUUCGACCAUUCGGGGUUGUAGGGCCGGCAUACGCGAUUCUGGAGUAGGCAGAGGAAGUGAGCUGGAAAGCUCCGCCACAGCGGGUGAUAGCCCCGUACUCGAAACCGAAAAGGACGCAGCCGGUACCUGAGUACUGCGAGGCACGUGGAACCUCGUGGGAAUCUAGGGGGACCAUCCUCUAAGGCUAAGUACUCCUCAGCGACCGAUAGUGAACUAGUACCGUGAGGGAAAGGUGAAAAGAACCCCUGUUAGGGGAGUGAAAUAGAAUCUGAAACCUGUUGCCUACAAGCUGCGAGAGCUACUUCGGUAGUGAUCGCGUGCCUUUUGUAUAAUGAGUCAGCGAGUUACUCUACCGUGCGAGGUUAAGCGAAAGCGUAGCCGUAGUGAAAGCGAGGCUUAAUAGGCCGACUAGUACGUUGGAGUAGACCCGAAACCGGGUGAUCUAUCCAUGAGCAGGUUGAAGCAAGGGUAAAGCCUUGUGGAGGACCGAACCGUCAACGGCUGAAAACGUUCCGGAUGACUUGUGGAUAGGGGUGAAAGGUCAAUCAAACCCGGUGAUAGCUGGUUCUCCCCGAAAUAUAUUGAGGUAUAGCCUCGGGAAUUGAUUAGCGGAGGUAAAGCACUGACAGAGCUAGGGGUCCUACCAGAUUACCAAACUCUAUCAAACUCAGAAUGCCGCUUAAUUGUAUCCCGGGAGUCAGACGGCGGGUGCGAAGGUUCGUCGUCAAAAGGGAAACAGCCCAGACCAACAGCUAAGGUCUCCAAAUCCAUGCUCAGUGGUGAAGGUAGUGGAACCGUUUAGACAGCCAGGACGUUGGCUUAGAAGCAGCCAUCGUUUAAAGAAAGCGUAAUAGCUCACUGGUCUAAUGGCUCUGCGCCGAAAAUGUAACGGGGCUAAGCAUGGUACCGAAGCUUUGGCAAUCUCCUUUGGAGAUUGGGUAGGGGAGCGUUCGCUGCGGGCUGAAGGUGUGUCGGAAGGCAUGCUGGACUGCAGUGAAGUGAUUAUGCUGACAUGAGUAACGAUAAAAUAUGUGAAAAACAUAUUCGCCGAAAACCCGAGGUUUCCUGGGUAAAGGUAAUCUUCCCAGGGUUAGUCGGAUCCUAAGGUGAGGGUGAAAGCCGUAACCGAUGGAAAACAGGUUAAUAUUCCUGUACUUGUUGUGUAGCGCGAUGGAGGGACGCAGGAAGAUAGGCGGGCCGGGUGUUGGAUAUCCCGGUGCAAGCGUGUAGGAAUAUCCGGUAGGCAAAUCCGCCGGACGAAUCUGAGACGCGAGUCCGUGGGCGCAAGCCCUGAAGCCGUUGAGUCUAUGCUGCCUAGAAAAGCUCCUAAGUUUAUCCACAGCAAUCCGUACCGCAAACCAACUCAGGUGGGUGGGAUGAACAAUCCAAGGCGCUCGAGAGAACUCUGGCCAAGGAACUCGGCAAAAUAACCCCGUAACUUCGGAAGAAGGGGUGCUCUCUAGGGUGACAUGUUUAACAUAUGAAGCCCCGGGGAGCCGCAGUGAAUUGGUGGUGGCGACUGUUUACUAAAAACAUAGGUCUGUGCGAAGUCCUAAAGACGACGUAUACGGACUGACGCCUGCCCGGUGCUGGAAGGUUAAAAGGAGAUGUGCAAGCAUUGAAUUGAAGCCCCAGUGAACGGCGGCCGUAACUAUAACGGUCCUAAGGUAGCGAAAUUCCUUGUCAGGUAAG
rnacentral:rRNA from 1 species